AUUGAACGCUGGCGGAAUGCUUUACACAUGCAAGUCGAGCGGCAGCACGGGGGCAACCCUGGUGGCGAGCGGCGAACGGGUGAGUAAUACAUCGGAACAUGCCCAGUCGUGGGGGAUAACACUUCGAAAGAAGUGCUAAUACCGCAUACGUCCUGAGGGAGAAAGCGGGGGAUCGCAAGACCUCGCGCGAUUGGAGUGGCCGAUGUCAGAUUAGCUAGUUGGUGGGGUAAAGGCCUACCAAGGCAACGAUCUGUAGCUGGUCUGAGAGGAUGAUCAGCCACACUGGGCAUGAGACACGGCCCAGACUCCUACGGGAGGCAGCAGUGGGGAAUUUUGGACAAUGGGGGCAACCCUGAUCCAGCCAUUCCGCGUGAGUGAAGUAGGCCUUCGGGUUGUAAAGCUCUUUCGGCAGGAACGAAACGGUGAGCUCUAACAUAGCUUGCUAAUGACGGUACCUGAAGAAGAAGCACCGGCUAACUACGUGCCAGCAGCCGCCGUAAAAC
rnacentral:rRNA from 1 species